rnacentral:rRNA from 1 species
UACGGAGGGUGCGAGCGUUGUCCGGAAUCACUGGGCGUAAAGGGCGCGCAGGCGGCUACGCACGUCCGUUGUGAAAUCGCUCGGCUUAACUGGGCGGGGUCAGCGGAUACGGCGUAGCUGGAGCAAGCUAGGGGGCAAUGGAAUUCCCGGUGUAGUGGUGGAAUGCGUAGAGAUCGGGAGGAACACCUGUGGCGAAGGCGGCCGACUGGGCCGACCCUGACGCUGAGGCGCGAAGGCGUGGGGAGCGAACGGG